GAUGAACGCUAGCUACAGGCUUAACACAUGCCAGUCGCGGGGCAGCAUGGGGGUUGCUUGCAAUCCCCGAUGGCGACCGGCGCACGGGUGAGUAACGCGUAUCCAACCUGCCCUUCACCACGGGAUAACCCGGCGAAAGUCGGACUAAUACCGUAUGUUGUCCAUUGACGGCAUCCGAUUUGGACGAAAGGCUUGGCGGUGAGGGAUGGGGAUGCGUCCGAUUAGCCAGACGGCGGGGUAACGGCCCACCGUGGCUACGAUCGGUAGGGGUUCUGAGAGGAAGGUCCCCCACACUGGAACUGAGACACGGUCCAGGCUCCUACGGGAGGCAGCAGUGAGGAAUAUUGGUCAAUGGGCGUAAGCCUGAACCAGCCAAGUAGCGUGCAGGAGGACGGCCCUAUGGGUUGUAAACUGCUUUUAUGCGGGGAUAAAGUGGCCCACGUGUGGGCUUUUGCAGGUACCGCAUGAAUAAGGACCGGCUAAUUCCGUG
rnacentral:rRNA from 1 species